rfam:Immundisolibacter cernigliae strain TR3.2, complete genome.
GGGGGCGACCUGGCUUCGACGUGGGUUGCGAAACCUGAGGUGCAUGCCGAGGUGCAGUGACCUCGUAAAUCACUCUGCAAAACUUUAGUUGCCAACGACGACAACUACGCACUCGCUGCUUAAAACCCAGUAGGGUGCCGUCUGACCGGAUGUGCUUGUGCGUUCGGGGUUCAGGCGUCGACACACACAAGCUCGCGGCAAGGCAGGCCUGGGGCCGACCCGCUAAAACCUUUCAGGAUCGCUGGCUGUUUUCCCUGCCCGUCGGGUAGCAGUCGGCUAAAACAAUAGACUGGGAUAAGCAUGUAGAGCCAACGGCAGAGGACUUGCGGACGCGGGUUCGAUUCCCGCCGCCUCCACCA